rnacentral:rRNA from 1 species
UGGGGAAUUUUGGACAAUGGGGGAAACCCUGAUCCAGCCAUCCCGCGUGUGCGAUGAAGGCCUUCGGGUUGUAAAGCACUUUUGGCAGGAAAGAAACGUCGCGGGUUAAUACCCCGCGGAACUGACGGUACCUGCAGAAUAAGCACCGGCUAACUACGUGCCAGCAGCCGCGGUAAUACGUAGGGUGCAAGCGUUAAUCGGAAUUACUGGGCGUAAAGCGUGCGCAGGCGGUUCGGAAAGAAAGAUGUGAAAUCCCAGAGCUUAACUUUGGAACUGCAUUUUUAACUACCGGGCUAGAGUGUGUCAGAGGGAGGUGGAAUUCCGCGUGUAGCAGUGAAAUGCGUAGAUAUGCGGAGGAACACCGAUGGCGAAGGCAGCCUCCUGGGAUAACACUGACGCUCAUGCACGAAAGCGUGGGGAGCAAACAGGAUUAGAUACCCUGGUAGUCCACGCCCUAAACGAUGUCAACUAGCUGUUGGGGUCUUCGGACCUUGGUAACGUAGCUAACGCGUGAAGUUGACCGCCUGGGGAGUACGGUCGCAAGAUUAAAACUCAAAUGAAUUGACGGGGUCAUAGCUGUUUCCU